rnacentral:lncRNA from 1 species
CGCUGUACACUGCAUGGCAAUGUCCAAGUCCAUCAAUAUGCAAGCCCCAUCAAAAUAGAAAAUAAAACUGAAAAAGAACUACCACUGCCAACACCGAUGAGCGCCACCAACGUGGAAGCGAUGAACGCUAGUAGAGCAGCACCAACCAUCAGCUUGUAUGUCUAAAAGAACAUUCCCACUCAACCAGCAUUAGCUGAGCAACAAAAUACAAAGGGAGAGCCAAAAACAGCAAGGGUAGCAUAGAAGGAACCAUCAAAACCAGCCAGCACAAAAAGUCGACAAGAACUAAAAACCACACCUUUCAAGCAGGACUUCACAGACCAUCAGCAGUCACUAUCAAAGGAAGAAGCAACCAUGACAUUUUCGGUCUGUAAUAGUCAUGGAGGGACCGUUUUGAGGCAUCAGCACUCCAGAGACGAUCUCCAACAGCGACCAACAAGCGCAAAACCAACACAAAAUCAAAAAUACAGAUCCUUCAGAAAAAGAACCUCACAAGACUACACCAGAUCCAGAGAAGACAAAACUACACAAACCAUAGACUGGAAGAGUUGCUGAAGUGAAGCAAACCUCUCUGCCGAAACCUAAAUCAAUAAACAAUCCUAUCCCUUUACUCUUUCCUUUUGGCUUUCGUAUUCCUUUCAUUUCAAGAGAAUGAAGAAAUUAAAAUUUCUUGAGGUUAAUAUAUGGAC